rnacentral:rRNA from 1 species
UACGUAGGGUGCAAGCGUUAAUCGGAAUACUGGGCGUAAAGCGUGCGCAGGCGGUUCUAUAAGACAGAUGUGAAAUCCCCGGGCUCAACCUGGGAACUGCAUUUGUGACUGUAGAGCUGGAGUGCGGCAGAGGGGGAUGGAAUUCCGCGUGUAGCAGUGAAAUGCGUAGAUAUGCGGAGGAACACCGAUGGCGAAGGCAAUCCCCUGGGCCUGCACUGACGCUCAUGCACGAAAGCGUGGGGAGCAAACAGG